rnacentral:rRNA from 1 species
UGGGGAAUAUUGGACAAUGGGCGCAAGCCUGAUCCAGCAAUGCCGCGUGUGUGAAGAAGGCCUUCGGGUUGUAAAGCACUUUUAUCAGGAGCGAAACGCUGUCGGCUAAUACCCGGCGGAACUGACGGUACCUGAGGAAUAAGCACCGGCUAACUUCGUGCCAGCAGCCGCGGUAAUACGAAGGGUGCAAGCGUUAAUCGGAAUUACUGGGCGUAAAGCGUGCGUAGGCGGUUUCUUAAGUCUGCUGUGAAAUCCCCGGGCUCAACCUGGGAAUGGCAGUGGAUACUGGGAGGCUAGAGUGUGUCAGAGGGUGGUGGAAUUCCCGGUGUAGCGGUGAAAUGCGUAGAGAUCGGGAGGAACAUCAGUGGCGAAGGCGGCCACCUGGGACAACACUGACGCUGAGGCACGAAAGCGUGGGGAGCAAACAGGAUUAGAUACCCUGGUAGUCCACGCCCUAAACGAUGCGAACUGGAUGUUGGUCUCAACUCGGAGAUCAGUGUCGAAGCUAACGCGUUAAGUUCGCCNCCUGGGGAGUACGGUCGCAAGACUG